GACGAACGCUGGCGGCGUGCUUAACACAUGCAAGUCGAACGGAAAGGCCCUGCUUUUGUGGGGUGCUCGAGUGGCGAACGGGUGAGUAACACGUGAGUAACCUGCCCUUGACUUUGGGAUAACUUCAGGAAACUGGGGCUAAUACCGGAUAGGAGCUCCUGCUGCAUGGUGGGGGUUGGAAAGUUUCGGCGGUUGGGGAUGGACUCGCGGCUUAUCAGCUUGUUGGUGGGGUAGUGGCUUACCAAGGCUUUGACGGGUAGCCGGCCUGAGAGGGUGACCGGCCACAUUGGGACUGAGAUACGGCCCAGACUCCUACGGGAGGCAGCAGUGGGGAAUAUUGCACAAUGGGCGGAAGCCUGAUGCAGCAACGCCGCGUGCGGGAUGACGGCCUUCGGGUUGUAAACCGCUUUCGCCUGUGACGAAGCGUGAGUGACGGUAAUGGGUAAAGAAGCACCGGCUAACUACGUGCCAGCAGCCGCGGUGAUACGUAGGGUGCGAGCGUUGUCCGGAUUUAUUGGGCGUAAAGGGCUCGUAGGUGGUUGAUCGCGUCGGAAGUGUAAUCUUGGGGCUUAACCCUGAGCGUGCUUUCGAUACGGGUUGACUUGAGGAAGGUAGGGGAGAAUGGAAUUCCUGGUGGAGCGGUGGAAUGCGCAGAUAUCAGGAGGAACACCAGUGGCGAAGGCGGUUCUCUGGGCCUUUCCUGACGCUGAGGAGCGAAAGCGUGGGGAGCGAACAGGCUUAGAUACCCUGGUAGUCCACGCUGUAAACGGUGGGUACUAGGUGUGGGGUCCAUUCCACGGGUUCCGUGCCGUAGCCGACGCUUUAAGUACCCCGCCUGGGGAGUACGGCCGCAAGGCUAAAACUCAAAGGAAUUGACGGGGCCCCGCACAAGCGGCGGAGCAUGCGGAUUAAUUCGAUGCAACGCGUAAAACCUUACCUGGGUUUGACAUGGAUCGGGAGCGCUCAGAGAUGGGUGUGCCUCUUUUGGGGUCGGUUCACAGGUGGUGCAUGGCUGUCGUCAGCUCGUGUCGUGAGAUGUUGGGUUAAGUCCCGCAACGAGCGCAACCCUUGUUCACUGUUGCCAGCACGUUAUGGUGGGGACUCAGUGGAGACCGCCGGGGUCAACUCGGAGGAAGGUGGGGAUGACGUCAAGUCAUCAUGCCCCUUAUGUCCAGGGCUUCACGCAUGCUACAAUGGCUGGUACAGAGAGUGGCGAGCCUGUGAGGGUGAGCGAAUCUCGGAAAGCCGGUCUCAGUUCGGAUUGGGGUCUGCAACUCGACCUCAUGAAGUCGGAGUCGCUAGUAAUCGCAGAUCAGCAACGCUGCGGUGAAUACGUUCCCGGG
rnacentral:rRNA from 1 species